rnacentral:lncRNA from 1 species
UGUACUUAAAAUGGAAAACUAAAAUUACUACAAAGUCAAGAAAAACCGAAGUACAAGAAAUUUAAGCAAAGAUUAAAAAACACUACAACAAAGACAAAAAAUAAAAUUAACACUAGGACGAGAAAACAGAUAUGCAAAAAAUUAAAGUAAAUAUUAAAAGACAUUUAAUCUGAAAACCCCCUCCCUCUUCCUCGCCUGUUUCUCCGGCGCUGUCCACUUCCUUGGCUGGCUCCACUCCUUUGUCCACUGGUACUUGGACUUUCCCUCACAUUGACAACAAGAUGGCCGCUGGUUGGAGUUCUAGGAGUAGAUGGUGCAUUUUCAUCUCUGCCAUCAUCACCACCGUCACCCCUAUUUUGUGCUCUGUUUUCCUCUCCUCCCACACUUCGAUGUUUAUCUAUAUAUUCCAUUAAAUUUCUUAAACCAUAUAUGACAGCCCCAAAAAACACAGAUAUUAUCUUGAGUUCGUCAUUAUUUUUGUGUGUAGAAGCAAAACUUGAACAAAGGCAAAAUUCAAUGAAAAUAUUGGUAGGGGCAAAAUUAAGGCCUGGGGCCACAAUUCGGGAAAGAAAAAACGAAAAGAGAGAUGAAAAAAAUAAAAAUGCAACCAAUUUAAAGUCUGUAUCCUCAUUUUUAACUUUUGUGUACAUAACAGCUAUAAAAACAGACAGAACAAGUUCCAAUCCAGCCUUGACAAAAGCCCAAAAUUUUUUUUCACAAAAAUCAAAACUGACAAUGUUCUGCCACUUCUUUACAAAUGAUAAAGUAAAAAAAAGAGCUACCGGUGCAAAAGAAACUGCAUUCACAGACACAUACCACCGCCAACCCUUACCUAAAUGGUCAGAAAAAUAUUUAGUGAAAUAGAAAUGGUAGCUACCCCCUAUAAACGCCAGAAAACACAUUAGGCAAAAAAAAAUUUUUUCUGGUACCCCAGCUUUAGGCCCAGUGUUAGUCAUUUUACAAACUCAAACUUAAAACCAAGAAAUUAAAUAGAUGCAAAAAAAUAGAGGAAAAACUGGUAAGCGAUAAAACUGAGUUUGAGAACUUACAUGUAUAUAUACAAGUUCAUGAAAAAAAAUUAAAUCUCAAAAUUAUUAAAAAAAUAACAAGUUUCCAUUAAUGUGUAUGCAGACUUCCUUAACAAAAAGCAAAAUGAAAAAGACUUGAAAAAUGAAGUCUAUCUAUUGGAUAGACAAUUAUAAUCUAUUUUUUUAUGUAAAAAUAAGGUAGAGAACAUUUAAAGUAGAAAACGUUUUGUUCAAAGGUAAAGAAGCAGAAAACUACUAACAAAAAUAGCUUUCAUUCUGCACAUUACAUAAAUACAUACGAUUUUAACACUCCUAAAGAAAGUUUCUUCUGAAACUUUGAUUUUUAAGACAAAAGAAUCAAAAGACUUCGAGAUCAGAGAAUCAAAAGGUACAACUUCUAUCAUAAAAACUGAAUAAAAACAAAAGUCUAACUUAAAAAUAAAAAACUCAAACCUUAAUUUCAUAUCAUUCUCGAAUUUUCUUUUGGAUUGGAUCCAUCCAACUCUCGAAUAUUUCAUAGUUUGAUUUCAGAAUAAUAUUUUUUCCAGAGUGCAUUUGAGAAAAAAUCAUUUUGGGUCACAUUUACAGAGAAAAUGAGAGAAAUAAACAAAGAUAGGGAAAUUCAGGAUCAGAGGAAGGUGAAAUGAAACACAGAUAAGGAAAUUGAUCGUGGGAAUAGGGAAAGAUGGAUAUGAUCCUUCCAAUUCGAAGUUUGAAUCCAUAAUACGAAUUUCUGAGAGUGCACUUUGAGAAAAAAAAUUAUUUUUGGUUAGAUUUACAGGGAGAGAAGGAAAGAAAUGAACAAAAAUAAGGAAACUGAGAUGCAAAUAGGUGAAAUGAAACAAAAUAAAGACAGAAAUUGAUUGACGAACAGGUAAAGAUUAAUAAAUAAAAAAAAUUUUUGAUAAAAAAAUUUUACAUUUAUAAAUAAAUAUUAAUAUUCUAAAUUAAAAAUUUUAGAUUUAUAACUAACAUUAAAUAAAAUAGACAUAUUAUUAUUACACACUGUUGUUUUAAGCCCUACAAAUGCAA